ensembl:lncRNA
GGGAACAACUUUGUCAAGUGAGUCAGACUUCAACACAGCCACAGCCAGUUAUUUUCCAAACUGGAAAACUACUUGGCUGUUUCCAUUAUAGACACAAAAUCCCACUGCCUGCAUUCUUAACAUAGUCUACCGGAAAGCAUCGCCUAUCCGCCUCAUCUUCCAUGGGCACUCUGAGCCCUACUGGUAACAGCUCCAACUUCUUCUCCAUACCAUGCUUGCCAUUUUUAUAGCACUACAAGGGAGGAGGGAACCAGCAUUUGCUCAGCAUUAACUGCAUACCAGGCAAGAUGCUAGGGCUUCACAUACAUCUCAUUUAGUCCUCAAAACAAUCCUGCAAGGUGGGGAUUUAUCACCCCCAUUUUACGUAAGAGGAAAUGGAAGCUCAGAGAGCUUCAGAACCCAAGGUCACGCAACCAACCAAUGACUUGGCCUAGAUUCCUGUCCAAGCCUGUCUCUCUCCAAAGUCAUUACCUUUCCACUUUAUUUAACCACUUCCUAAGGAGAUUGCAUCACACUAAGAAAAAGCAGUGGACUAAGAUUGAAAGAUAUGAAGUCUAUUGCCUACGUCACUGCCAAUUUUCAGUGUGACCUUGUGCAACUCAUUUCCUUACUCUGGCCCUUAGUGACCUCAUUUGUGAAAUGAGAGAAGGGGAAUUAAUCUAAUUGAUCUCUAAGUUUCCUCUUCGUUGUAGCCUUCUGUCAAUAGUUCUCAACCAGAGGCGAUUUUGUGCCUCCCCUGGAGCAUUUGGCAAUGUCUAGGGAUAUCUUUUGUUGCCACAACUGAGGGUAGAGGGUGCUACUGGAAUUUAGUGGGUAGAGCCCCAGGGAUGCUGCUAAACAUGCUACAACACACAGGGUAGCGUCCCGCAACAAGGAAUGAUCCAGCCCCAAAUGUCAACAGUGCCGAGGUUGAGAAACCCUGUCUUAUAUAAUUACAGCAUCCCAACAGCAUGUUGGGACGUGGAUGAUGGCAAGACAAGGCUGAACAGGAAAAGGGCAAGGAUCCAAGUCAUGUGAACCAUCAGAGAAAAUGAAGAAUUACAUGAAUUUAGGCAACAAAGAAGCUGAGUUUAGGGAAGUAAGCUGAGGUCAGAAGAGUUUGGGCCCACAGUAUAAAUAUAGACAGGCCGGAGAAGCCAAGGCUGAGGACUCAGUCAGUCACAAGCUGUUGGCCCUGUUGCUCAGGAGAUAGCAGGGGGCUCUGCCCGCAGCAGUCGUUUACUCUCUGCCCACUAUCUUUCUGCAGGUGGUUCUGCAGCCACAACCAGUUGAGAGACCAACAGGUGAGCCCUAUCCACCCCCCAAAAGACUGGAUAAGCUUUGUUUUAUCUCAGAAUAUACCCUCUUCCUUCUAACAAACAUAGGUGAUGAGCACCAUGUCCACAGGUAGAUGUCAUGGGGAAUAAGGAGACAAAUAAGUGCUAGUCCUGUCUCUCAUAGAGUUGAUGGUCAGGAAGGAAAAAUAAGACACAUAAACAGCACUGAGUAUAACACAAGGUCGAAGGCGGAUGGAAAAAAGGCAAAGUGCUUGGCCAUAUGCCCCUCAUCACCUUGUGCCCAGCCUCUAAAAAGGGGACUCUGAAGAGAUAACAUUCCAUACCCUUUCCCCGUGAUCACUGUUUUCCAACUACCCCAGCUUUUGUGGUGUUCCUCAAACAUGCCAUGCUCACUUCCAUCUCAAGGCCCUUGCACCUGCUGCUUCCUUGGCUUGAAACCUUCUUCACCCAGAUCCUUGUGAGACUAGCUCCUCAUCAUCCACGUCUUAGCUCAAAAUGCCAUCUCCCCAGAACAGGCGUCCUUCUCUACUCUGUUCAGACUAGCUCUGAAGUCACUCACGCUCACAUUACUCAUCACCACCUAAUAAUAUCUUGUUUCCUUGCUUAUUGUCUGCCUGUUCUCAUCUAGAAUAUGCUUUCGAAAACCAGGGACCUUGACUGUCUCAGCACAAUGCCUGGUACAUAAUAGAUCCUCAAUCAAUAUUUGUUGACUUGAUGAAUGACAGAGGUAGAGCUGAAAUGCUCUUUGGUGUCUAAAGGAGGCAGAGAUCAUUUCUGCCUGAGGAAAGAAAGAAAGGAGGUGAUGACAUUUGUGUGUUGCCUUGAGGCUAUGUAGGCAUUACACAGCCAGAGACAGAAGGGAAGCCUUCAAAGAAGGGGAAACAGAACAAGCCAGGGCAUGAAGGCAGGGCCUGUUUGGGAAAGGGCAAGUACCCAAUGUAGUUGGCACCACACUGGCCAAGGAGGGCAGUGAAGAGAAGACUGGACUGGGCUUGGGGAGCUGUUAAUCCAUCAUGAACUAGGGAGUUAAAAAUUUGUGGGGGUGGGGCUGAGAAAUCCAUUUAGAUAUCGUGUAUUGAAUUUAGCAAGAAAUUGAUAAAUUUUAGGCGUCUGCGAUGUGCCAGGCUCUGUGCCAGGUACUUUACACCGUCCUCUCAUUUAAUCCUCAGGCAAUAACCUUGUGAGGCAGAAUUAUCAUCCCAAUUUCAUACCUGAGCAAACUGAGGCUCAGAGGUAGAAGCAAAACUUUAGCCACCUAGAAUUUGUGUAUUCCUACAACAGAGGAAUUCCCACAGCAGACCACAGGAAGCCAGCUGUCCUCGUGAGAAUUUUCAGUAAAAAGCCCCAGAAGGACACCUCCAGAAGGGGAGAGACCUGCCUCCCAUGGAUGGCACUUGUUUGACUAUGCAAGGAAGUCACCCGAGAAGGAUGUCAGUGGGCACCAAUGGGUGUUGUACCACCAAAGACACUGUGAUGAGAAGGAUUUGGGCCCAGUCUGUACUCAGUAAAAGGGAGCCGUGAUGGAGUCAUAGAUCAAGUCACAAGCACAGGAUGAGGAAGAGCAGCUUCUUUGCAACCUAUUCAUCAUCCGUGCUGUGGUAAAACCUUCUCCUCAAUUCCUGAAGGAAGGUAGGCUUUUUAGUCCAUGGGAAACGUUGAUAGCAGUGUCUUGUAUGUAGCACAGGGGAUCCUUGGAUGUAUGUAAGGACUCUCUCUAUAUACAUGUACGUAUUUGGACUGUUGCCACAGUAAGGCUGCUAUUACCAACCAAGAAAACAACACACCAAAUCAGUCCACAAGUACCAACUUACAGGAACUAGGUGGUACAAUAAUUAAUGAUGAUAAGUAUUACCACUGCCGUUUGUUGAACACCUGCUCUGUGCUGGGCAUUUUACAUACACUGUCUGAUUUCAUGCUCACAUAUCCUGGGGAGAGAGAAUUGCAUUUCCACUGGAUGAAUGUGUUACAUAAAUGAAUGAGACUCAGAAAAGUUCAUAAGCGUUGGUAGAGACCUUAGAAAUCAACUAAUCAUCAUCUCCAAUUAUAUCUUAUACAUAAGUGAACUUGAGGCCCUAGAGAGUAAGUGACUUGCCUAGGGUCACUUAAGUUCCUGGUGAAACUAAGACUAGCAGGAAGCUAGCUGUCCUGGCUCAAAGUCCAGGGUACUUUGCAUGCAGUAAAGAGAACUUCUCACACUCAAACAACCCUGAAACUCAAUAUCUGGCAUUUUUUCUAGCUCUGCAGAGCUUGUUAAGUGUAUCUGGAUAAACUGGACCACGGUCUGGGGGAGGAUUUUGGACUGAAGCAGCUAAAAUCUGUAAUCAAGACUAGUCUCAAAUCUAAAUCAGGCAGGCAAAUGCUUAGAGGGUGGGAUUUCAGGACCAUGACUACAUUUUCCCCCAACCAAAAGCAUUUUGGUGAUAUUUACUAUAUCCCCAAAAUUCCUCAUCCAGGACAAAGACUUUUAUUCCAAAAAGUUGUUCCGUCUCUUUGUAAAGGCUCUUGUUAGGCAAGAAUAUCUGGCAAGUUCGAACUGGAUUUAAAUAUGUGUUCCAAGGUGUUUUCUUGAUGAUAGCUUUUGACAGGAGAGUGAAGAGGCACUUGAAGGCCAGGGUAGGCACACAGGGAGGUAAGCAAAGAAUUCAGAAUGGAAAAGUAGAGGAUAUUGAAGGCAAAUGUCAUAAUUUUACAACUAGGAAGCCCUUGUUUUAAUUACCUACCUAAAAGGUAGUCAUGAAGAGACAGAAAUUGGUUAUUCAGCAGAGAGGCCUGAGUUUGGAUGUAACUGGAGCUUGAAGUGGAAGAUUAAGCAGUUAUCUAAAUAAUUCCAGGGAGAAAAAAAUGACUUUUUAAAAAACUUUAAUUAUCUAGAUAUUUUAAAUAAAUAAAAUAGUUCAUUAUCAUUUUCUUCAUCUUGUCUUGAAACUAUGAUGAGGAAAAAUAUCAUUUCAGGUUUUCUUUUAAAAAAUGGGUUGUAACCUAGAGGUCCUGUCUUCACACACAAACUCAUUUAGGAAGGUAAAAAAAAGACGUUGUUAAUUUAAUUUGAUUGAGUAAUCAGCUUAACGAACUACUUAGAAACCAUUUAGCAAUGAAAUAAAAACUAAGUUCUCAGCAAUUGGAAAACCAUUAGAAAGAAAUGAGUGCAGUACUGGUAGGAGACAUCUGUGGGUUUUGGCAACCUGGCCAACCUCCCCUUCCUUUGGGGAGCUGCUCCUACUCUCCUGUAGUCUUACGAUCCUGGUUACACUGCCAAUCAGAGUACCCCACCCUUCCCCACACCACUGGCCCAGGCAAUGAUAGCCCCUUUUGCCCUGGCCACGAUGAUUGGGCCAGAUGUGAUCUUGUGACCUAACUCUGGUCAAUUAGAAUCCUUCCCUAGGACUUUUUUAACAUGGAGUUCGAAUGAGAAGGGGGCCUUACAUUCUGAGUCCAAGCAAAAAGUAUCUAAGGGCUAUCUUCUGGAUCCUGUAGAGAAAGUUUCUCUGCAGAAGAGAACAAAGCCAACUCAGCCAAGCCAAAAUGCAUGAUGGAGGGAGUGUGUCCUGGUGUCACCUGAGUCCCUGGACGCGGUAGUUCCAGAGGCCAGUCCUUACCCGGACUUCCCAGUGGUGAGAGCUAAUCAAUUGGCUCUUUUGCCUAAGCUACUAUGAGGUAUAUUACCAACCCUAGCAACCAAUAAGUGAUCAGCGAGGACCCACAGGAUAACUAACUGAGACAAAGAAAGUCAGUAAUUGAGCUCUAACCAGUUGUUUCUACGGCUAGCAACUGGUUUCAAACUAGUUUGACUGCAUUUAAAUUUUUCCUGUCCAAACCCAUUUGCAGGUAUUGAGGCACCAAUGUCACCAUCUUGACUUCUGUCAGCCUCCAUUCUCUCUUUCCUGUUAACCUGCCUUCUGGGGGGUGCUGUGACUGUUAGACAUAAGUGAAAGUUCUCUGAAAAAUCUUUGGUGUUAGGGAAGCAAUAAGGCCUCAAAGGGGUUCCUUUCUGCCCAUAAAAUUUUAUUUUCUUUAUCCUUUGGAAGAGUAUACUAAGCAGAGUGUGUCUCUCUACCUCUCCGCCCUGCCCCCUGCCCGGUCUCCCCCUGAAUCAUUUCAGAGGGAGAGGAGAGAGAGGAGGGGAGCUUUUACUGUUCAUGUUUAUUUCUGUUCUGCAGCAGAGAUUGGACACCUCCAGUUGGCUGUCAGCUUUGCAUUAAAUGCAUUGCCUUUGAUGGAAAGAAAUACACUGAAUGCAUAAAUUGCAUGGGAACAUGAGGGUGGUUGCACUGAUAAUGAGAGCAUAUAAAGAGAAAAGCAAUAGAGACAAAUUGUACUGACACCCAGGCCAGCCAGGCCAAGCAGCAGUUUAGUGCUUUAAGAAGUCCCCGAAAAAUCUAUUCCCACCUUGUUGGCUCAUACACAAAAUUCUACUCACUCUAUUUGAUUCUUUUACUUAAAGUGAUGGUGGCUCUAGAACCAUAAUCUUUCACAUAGCCACAGAAUUCUGCAGCCACAAAGCGCUUUCGUAACAUAGUCUGCCUUGAUCCACAGCAAUGUCCUGAACAGUAGACAGAGUAGAGAUUAGUAUUCCCAUUAUGUAAGUUAAAACUGAAACUUAGGAAGAUCAAGAGACUUGCCCAAAUUCACUUAAGCCAAGGUGGGUGAGCUGGGCCUGGAAGAUGAACCUCCUGACUCAUGGCCUCUGCCCUCUAUCAAAAGAUGACCCCAGACAGUCAUGGCGAUGUGACUCUCCUUUCGUGGAGGGAAAAAGUAAAAGCGUGUAUCAGCUAACUUGAGGAUGUCUUUGGCCAAGGGCUGGCCCUAUAAACAAGAGUGAAAAGAAGGAACAAACAUUGUUGCGGGCAGAGCCAAACUAAAGGGUGAUGUGACAGGACAGACGGUUUUGCCGCCAUCACUAGAGAUUUAAGGAGGUGGUGAAAAUUCUGCUUACCAGAAGGCCUCAGGGAGAACCCUCCAGAUGGUUGCAAGAAAUGCCUGCUAAGGAGUUAACAAGAGCCUUGUGCAUUCCUCUAUGGGACAUGCAAACAGAAAUGGUGCUACUAUUUCCCUAAUAGCAUGGACUCUGUCCUCUGUGUAAUGAUGAAAAACACUUAAAGAACAUCGAUCAGAAGAGUGUCAGAUUAUUUGGCUUCCGGGGCACCAAGAGAUCACCAUCAGGCACAAAUGACUUUCUAUAAGGCGGCUCUGUCUGAUGGCAUUACAUAUGCUCUCUCUUUUAAUGCUGCUAUAAAUGGUCUAAGAGGCAUCAUGAUCUUUGUUUUCACUUGUGACACUCAGAGAGGUUAGACAACUUGCCCAGAGUCACAGAACUGCCAGUUGGAGGAACCAGGUUUGCAUUUCAGAGUUGUCUGGCUCCAAAGUUCCCCUUUGCCCCAGACUGGCAGAAAGAUAAAUGCUGAAUCUUCAUUAAGAACCCAGAAUCGUGACCUUUUUAAACUAGCUCCUGGGUCGUUUUUCAGAGAUGUGGAUUUACAGUAAAAAUCAAUUACUCGCCAUCCUCUCUUUUCUCCUAUACCCACUAAGGGAAAGGUGCUGCAGGGCCAGUUGGCAAAUGUUUUCCACACGUAUGGCCUCAUUCUAGCCUCAUAAUAACCCUAUGAGGGGCACAAGGCAGGCACUAGUACCCUCAUUUUACAGAUGAGGAAACAGAGGCCCAAAGGGAGUUAAUGGGUUGCUCAAGGCCAACCCAGGACUUUUAACUACAGCCCCAGAAAUCUUCCUCCUCCACUAUCUCGCCAAGCCUAGCACAUGUUCAGCACUCAAUAAACUAAUGAAUUAAUAACGGAUGAUUCAAUUCAAGAACUAUAUCUCAGAAGGAUCGUGCUUUCAAAUUCCCUACAUGCAGCUCUGCCUGUCUCCUUGCAACAGAAAACCAAGGUUCAUUAAAUGGUCGAAUCUGCAGAAGCUCCUCAUCCUGUGGGCCCCCUGAGACAGGUGUCAGAAGCUCCAUUUCCUUUCAACCUGGCAUUCUCCGCCCCCACAGAGCGCCAGCAGCCCGCCUGCAGGUGUGGUGUCAUUUGCUCUUUUCUUGUGCGCCCCACCACAUGCUGCUUUCCCACUGGCUGGCAUUCUGCCGGAGCCCACACUUCCUAUCACCCUCUGUCCCUCUCCCAGUGCAGCGCAGCAGGACCAGUGGUGACAAGAAGCAUGUGUAGAAUUCAAGUCAGGAGACUGCAGGCAGACCAGACUCGCUUCCCCAACGUGGCAGAAAUGACCGUCCUGCUGUUCUAAUCUUAUUAUGAAGGUGCAGCCCUGCCUGUGCCAGGGAAGGAAAGGUGAAGAGAGAUCGCGGCUGCCCAAGAUUCUUCGGAUUAUCGUUUGCUACCUGUUGAGUUAAUCAUGGGCAAUUUCACAGAAUCCUGGACUCUCACAAUUAAGACAGCUAGAGGGCUGGGAGGCAUGGUCGCUAACACACGCCUCUCACUUGCAUACUUCCAGGAACAUGGAUACUCACCACCUCCAGGUAGCACUUAGUCUGUCUGAUUUUAAAAACACAGUAUAUGAAUUAAAGACAUGUCCCUAGGCACUAGUUCUUGGUUUGCCCUCCCAAGUGUCCACCCCCUUCCCAGAGAUCGGAAGGUAAUUCUCACCUCCUAUCCUGUACCCCUCAAGAUAAAUAUCUCCACGGUCUCAAUAAUCCAUCAUAUGAUAUGGUUUCCUCACGCUCCAGGGUCCUGUCAAAGAUCAACUAAGGCUAUAUAUGUGCAUAUGUGUGCGCAUAUGUGUGCACUUUGAAAGCUGCAAUGUGUUACACUAGUUGUAAGAGAGCAUUAUUGUUACUAUUACUACCAUGGUUUGUAUUCCUCCUCUGCAUUCUAGUGAUGCCUGAGCUCAUAACUUUACCCCAAAAACAGCCCGGAGGCCUUGAUAUCACCAACUUCCUCAAUUUUAAGAUGAGAAAAUGGAAGCUCAUAUUUAAUGAGCACAAUGUUAAACAUUUUGCAGCAAUAUGCCAUUUAAUCCUCACAAGGCCCUGUGCUGUAAAGAGACUGUGACUGGCCUAUUAUAAAUGAGGAAACUGAGGCCAAGAGAAAAUAAAUAACUUGUCCAAGAUGGAAAAUUAUGAAGAGCAGAGUAAAAAUUAGGGUCCAAGUCUGUGGGAUCCCAGAGCCUAACCAUCGAACCAUGAGGCUAGAGGGUUUCAAAAGUUAUCCAACAUCAGCGGCCAUGGUUCUGUUCUAUUCUUAGGACUUUGAGAAAGGGUUUCCAUCCCCACGUUGAGUAGUCUAGGAAAUGAGGCAGGAGAGAAGCAGGUCGUCAUGGGAUGCCUCUGUCAUUGUCACCCUUAGUGGCUGAAGCUCAGCCAGGACAUGGAGUACUGAGGAAGCCCCACAUCUGCACAUGGCCCAGAUGUUUUUUUUGAAGGAGUAAGGAUUGGUCAUCAGUAAAGCUAUGAAGCCCUGGCCUCUAUUCUGCUGAGUCUCGGCUCUCUUCCAACGCCAUUGAAGGAGUUAAUUCUGGGGAAGAAGGGUCCCCAAAAUCUCAAAAAUCACAAAACACAAGCUCUAGACAGGGUCUUCAUGUUUGAGGAUAGGCUGAAUGAUAGUCCCUAAGAGUGGAGAAUACGGCAUCUUCUGUUCAACAGUUGGAUAACAUUGGGCAGUCAGUUAACCUCUCUGAGCCUUUGCACUCUCAUCUAUAAAGUGGGAUAACAAUGUCCACCACAAAGGGUCAACUAAAUGACCUCAAGCAUGUAAAGCACUUAGCACCAUGCUGGGCCCUCUCUAGACCUCAUAUGUAACAAAUGUUAGCUAUGAUGACAAAGGAAGAAGGAGUGAAGUGACUUCAGUGUGGCUUUGGUUCUCAAAGAGCUGUUUUCAUUUUGGAUUAGAGAAAGAAGAAGAAAUGUUUCCAAAACGUUUCAUAAUUGUACUUUUCCUUGAUUGGUUCUUAUGCGGAAAAAAAAAAAAAAAAACACUACUUAACUCUUGUUUUAUCCAAAUCCCGACUUCACAAAUAGGGAACUGAGUCCCACAGAAGGAACAGGACUUGUCCAAUGUCGCAGAACAAAUUGGUGGCAGAGGGUCUGGAACUCCCAUAGCCUUCCCUGGCAUUUGUUUCCAGGGCCCAAAGUCCUUGAGGAGAACUGGGAGAAGAAAGGACAGUGGGGAAUCUGCCACCCCGUGACAAUCGAGGCAGUUUGAGCUGAUUAUAUAGGUUGCUUCUGCACUUGACACAGCAUCCCGGUAGAGGCAUCUAGGUGUACAGAUACUGGGGUUCAGGGUCUGAAACUGUUCUCUCUUCUCCUGGGCCACUCAAGACUGGCGUCAAGGAAGUUAGCAUCAAAUCCCCAAAGGUGUAAAUAAUCCAGGCUUAGAAUCAAAAUCUAAAAUGAGCGAUAUUGUGAGAAAGCCAGGACUGAAAUCUAGAUCUAAAUAUUUCAGUCAAGGGAUUUACCAACCCAGACUGCUGCUCUGUUUUUAUUUUUUCAAAGACUUAAUUUUUUUAGAGCAGUUUUAGGUUCACAGCAAAACUGAACAGAAGGUACAAAGAUUUCUCAAUCACCCCUGUCCCCACAGAGGCACUGACCCCCCAUUAACCACAACCCCCCCGCCCCAGAGCAGUGUUUUACAAUCCGUGACCCUACAUUGACAGGUCAUCAUCACCUCAAGUCCACAGUUUCCGUUAGGGCUCACUUUGGUGUUGUACAUUCUAUGGGUUUGGAUAAAUGAAUGAUAUGCAUCCACCAUUAUAGUUUCUUUCACAACAGUUUCAGUGCCCUAAAAGUCCCCUGUGUUCUGUGCAUUCAUUCCUCCCUCCUCCCCCACCCCUGGCAACCACUUUUUUACUUUUUACUGUCACCAUAGUUUUCCUUUUCCAGAAUGUCCCAUAGUUGGAAUCAUACCACGUGUAGCCUUUUCAGAUUGGCUUUGGCUUUUUCAUUGAUCUUUAUCACUGCAUAACAAACUGCACCAAAAUUUAAUGACUUAACCAGAUUCUGUGGGUCAGGAAAUUGAACAGGGCACAGCAUGGACAGCACUUCUCUGCUCCAUGAUGUCUGGGACCUCAGUGGGGAAGACUCAAAGGCUAAGCGUGACUCACAGCCAGGGGCCUGGAAUCAUCUGGAGGUUCCUUUAGCCUUAUACCUGGCACAUGCAUUGGGAUGACUAGGUCUGCCUCUCCACGUGGAACGGUGGUUCCAGGGUAUUCAUGGAAGUUCAGGCUUCAAGCAUGAAUGUUCUGGUGAACAAGGCAUUUCCCUCAGAAAUCACAUGGCACCACUCCCACCAUACUCUAUCAGUCAAAGUAGUCAUAAGCUCACCAGAGUCACGGGGAGGGGACAUAAAUGCCACAUCUCAAUGGGAGGCAUGUCAAAGAAUGUGUAGGCACUUUUUUUUUAAAGAUUUAUUUUUCCUUUUUCUCCCAAAGCCCCCUGGUACAUAGUUGUGUAUUUUUGGUUGUGGGUCCUUCUAGUUGUGGCGUGUGGUAUGCCGCCUUAGCAUGACCUGAUGAGCGGUGCCAUGUCCGCACCCAGGAUUCGAGCCGGUGAAACCCUGGGCAGCCACAGCGGACCGGGCAAACCUAACCACUCGGCCAUGGGGCCAGCCACCUGUGUAGGUAUUUUUUUAAAAAUAGCACAGUUGCCAUUGUGUGUGUGUCUCAUCAGCCUAAAAACACCUUUAAGCUUCUUGAGGUCAGGGUCAUACCUUACACCGCCCCUCUCCUCAACCCUAAGCAUGGAGCAGGGACUCUAUACCUAUAUAAAAUUAACAUUUUGAUCUGAGCCCCCACCCUCAACUGUGGCUCCCUGGCAGGACUCUGGUCAGAGUUGGCGCUCAGUUCUAUAACAUCCUUCCCUCCUCCCUUUUUUGCCUCACUCUCCUCAUCUACUCCGUUGCUAAGACCUGCCCCUUCUACUUCAAAAUGCAUCAGGAGCCCUGCCCCUUCUCCUCAUCUCCACUGAUGACGGCCGCAUCAGAACACAUCACUCUCCUGCUGAAAGUCUGUCACUGACAUCCACUGUUCUUAGAGUAAAAUCUAAGUUUAGGACCCACAAGAUCAUUACUCCGUCGGACCCGGCCUGGGCCUGUCCCUCUGAGCUCAGCCAUCUCAUCCCCCUCCUCACGCCCGUGCUCCAGCCUCACCAGCCUCCAAUGCACUAAGCCCUUCCCACCUCCGGACCUUUGCACCAACCCCUCCUCCAGGCAUUCCCCCCACUAUUUGCACCCCUGCUCAUUCUCAUCCUUCAGGUGUCAGCUUAAAUGUCUCCUCCCCAGAAAGGCUACCUCAGCACCAUCUCUCCAUACACCUUUGGUCCCUUCAUGCCACUUUCCCAAACCUGUGACAACAGUGAUGUUUUUUAUCUUCUUGUUUGUUUUCUGUCUUGUUUCUUGCAAGUGCAGCAGCCUCAUCACUCUUGUUCAGUGUUCUGCCCUCUGCAGUAGAAUCCUCUCUGGGCCACAGUACAUGCACAAUAAGCAUCUGUGAAAUGAAUGAGCUGGAUGCAAUGCUGCAUCACUUCUGGGAGCAGAAGAAAAUCGAGCCCGUAACUUUAUUUACUCUGCAAAAGCAAAUUACAGAAGAUCCCUACCUUUGCCGGCGAUCUGUUGGUUGACACAGGCUGCGCCUUAUAAGACAGAGUAGAAAGAAUUGGAGAACAUUAGUGCUUUGGCAGGGCCCUCAGAGAUCAUUUAAUUUCUCAUUUUGUAAAUGAGAAAACUGGAAUGUGGAGAGGCCACGGAAUUUUACCCAAGACCAUAUCCAUUUCUUCAUAAUACAAUAUUUCUUGGUGUUUAAUUUCUUUAAUUAAACAAGCAAUUGUCCAUUGAAAAAAAUGAAGACUAUAUAGAAAUAGCUCUCAUAAAGAUCGGAGCUCUCCUCUUCCUGCUCCCUUCUCCAGGAGAGACCACUUUUUCUACUUUGGAGCAAAUCCUUCCAGGCAACUUUGCAUGUGCUUAUAAAUAAAACUAUGUGCGUAUUUAUACAUCCUAAAGCUUCACCAUAAUCCUCGACUAUCUCGAAAAUUAGCUUAGACUUAGAAAUAAAAAGUCUCUUGACAAAUGUAUUUCUUUAAAUACCAUCAGCCACAGAGGACUCAAGGAAAGGGAGUCCAUUCUAUUCUGCCCAGUGACAGAGGGAGACCCUUGGGAUAGUUGGCUGGCUAAAAGGGCCCUGGGGGAUUAGCCACAUGGGAUCCAGGGAAUGAAUAAAUUUUGCUCUCUUCAACUACUCAGGACCUGCUGAUUUGGGUGGUAAGUGAAAUUCUAAACCUUCCUGGUGACCAAGUGCUGACUGAUUUAUAGAAUUGAUUCAACAGCUGAGUAACCUCCUAUACCUUUGAUUCAAGGGGUCAAAACUAUCAAAAGGAAAGUAGUGCAGGGGAGCCAGGAAAAGGGAGGGGGGAGAGUUUACCAAUUAAGAAUGGAAGAGCUGGACUCAGGCUGGGCUCCAACCUUGUGACCUCACCAAGCCUCAGUUUCCCCAUCUGCAAGGUGGGGAUAACAACAGUACUAGUGACAUGGUACCUCAUACAUAUGUACCACCCAAAUAUGGGAGUUAUUUAUAAAGUGAACAGGUGGUAAUGAUUGUGCUGGAUGUCUUCUCUGUUGUAUUUUAUUACCAAGUGAGACAGAUAGUGAACCUGGUCAUGAAUCAUAAAUAUCCAAGAUCUUUAAAAUAUAGAAGUUGUUCAUUAUACCAGGCUCAAGGAGGUGCUGGGACCAGGAAGUGACAUAAGAGACCUGACAUUCCUGUUUUGUAGCAAGAAGAGUAUGGAGAAACCCCAAGCCCAGCCUGCGUUCAAGGCGGCGCAUCUGUGAAAUGAACAUAGCAAAUCUCGCCCUACCCCCAAGGACCCAGUGGGGUCUGGGGUGCUGUGGUGGAGUGUAUCUGACACAGCGUAGGUCUCACUAAACAUGGAAUAUGCACAAACCUAGACUACAUUUCCCAGAAUCCCCUGCAUGUGUCCUAGAUGUGGCCAUAUGACUGAGCUUAGCCAGUGAAAGAUGAGCAGAAGAGAUGUGUGCCACUUCCUGGCCUGACCCAUAAAAAAGCCCCAUGUAUGGUACUCCACGCCCUUUUUGUCAUACAGCUAAUGAGUGGAUGGCUGCAUGAGCAGAUACCUCACCACAUCCUAUGCAUCAGAACUUCUCUUGACUGCUAUGUGAGCUGGAAAUCAACUUUUAUUUUGUUGAGCCAUUACACGUUUGACUCUGUUUGUUACUAGGCUCUGGCAUGCCCUAAUUAAUACAAUCCACAAACUCAAAUCUAGCCUUCUUUUAGAAGACACAGUGGAAAAUCAGUCAUUAAUGCAGCAUUUUUAAAGAAGUCCCUGAGGUCAAAUAGUCUAUACAAUAAUCACAGUUGC